GGAACGAGCGGCGGACGGGUGAGUAACACGUGGGCAACCUACCUGUGAGACGGGGAUAACUCCGGGAAACCGGGGCUAAUACCGGAUAACGCAUCGAACCGCAUGGUUCGAUGAUCAAAGAUGGCUUCUUGCUAUCACUCACAGAUGGGCCCGCGGCGCAUUAGUUAGUUGGUGAGGUAAAGGCUCACCAAGGCGACGAUGCGUAGCCGACCUGAGAGGGUGAUCGGCCACACUGGGACUGAGACACGGCCCAGACUCCUACGGGAGGCAGCAGUAGGGAAUCAUCCGCAAUGGACGCAAGUCUGACGGUGCAACGCCGCGUGAGCGAUGAAGGUCUUCGGAUCGUAAAGCUCUGUUGUGAGGGAAGAACAAGUGCCGUUCGAAUAGGGCGGCACCUUGACGGUACCUCACCAGAAAGCCCCGGCUAACUACGUGCCAGCAGCCGCGGUAAUACGUAGGGGGCAAGCGUUGUCCGGAAUUAUUGGGCGUAAAGCGCGCGCAGGCGGUUCCUUAAGUCUGAUGUGAAAGGCCACAGCUCAACUGUGGAGGGCCAUUGGAAACUGGGGAACUUGAGGACAGAAGAGGAGAGCGGAAUUCCACGUGUAGCGGUGAAAUGCGUAGAUAUGUGGAGGAACACCAGUGGCGAAGGCGGCUCUCUGGUCUGUAACUGACGCUGAGGCGCGAAAGCAUGGGUAGCGAACAGGAUUAGAUACCCUGGUAGUCCAUGCCGUAAACGUUGAGUGCUAGGUGUUAGGGGGUCCAACCCUUAGUGCUGCAGUUAACGCAAUAAGCACUCCGCCUGGGGAGUACGGCCGCAAGGCUGAAACUCAAAGGAAUUGACGGGGGCCUGCACAAGCGGUGGAGCAUGUGGUUUAAUUCGACGCAACGCGAAGAACCUUACCAGGUCUUGACAUCUUCGGACAGCCCAAGAGAUUGGGUCUUCCCUUCGGGGACCGAAUGACAGGUGGUGCAUGGUUGUCGUCAGCUCGUGUCGUGAGAUGUUGGGUUAAGUCCCGUAACGAGCGCAACCCCUGAUCUUAGUUGCCAGCAUUCAGUUGGGCACUCUAGGAUGACUGCCGGUGACAAACCGGAGGAAGGCGGGGAUGACGUCAAAUCAUCAUGCCCCUUAUGACCUGGGCUACACACGUGCUACAAUGGAUGGUACAAAGGGAAGCCAAACCGCGAGGUCGAGCUAAUCCCAUAAAGCCAUUCUCAGUUCGGAUUGUAGGCUGCAACUCGCCUGCAUGAAGCCGGAAU
rnacentral:rRNA from 1 species